CGCGCACCGUAGACGCGUUUUCCACGUGGGAGGGUCGGGUUUGUCAAUGCCUUCCCGGUAUUUGCCUUUGAACAGCGCCCAAGCCUACGGAAAGGAUGAAAACGUGAGCGCAAGCAGGUGAAAACUCACCUGGGAAAAUGGCAGACAUAUUUUUUCAUCCACUGUGGCAAAUAAGCCAUUACUUCAAAGAACAACAAGCGGAAGAGACUUGCUUUGGCCAAGAACCACAAGGAAUGGAUAUUGAAUCAGUGGAAAAAUCAGUGGACAAUUACCCCAAACACACCUCUUGGUUAUGAAAGAGCUAUUUGUUCAAGAAGGAGAGUGAUGAAAUUCUGCAUCAGAUGACCUGGCCUACACAAUCACUUAAUCUAAAUUCAGUUGUGAUGGUUCGGGAUGAGUUGGAUUGUAAACGAAAUGAAAAGCAGCCAACAACCAUCUCUAUGUCAAGCUGUCGUCAAAACAAACGGUGACUACUUUGGAAAAGUUGGUCAUAUUCUAUUUUGUUUACUACAUAAUUCCAUACAUGUUUUUUUUUUUUUUAUUUCAUACUUUGGAUGUCUCCAGAAAAUUCUGAAAUGUUGAAAAUAAAGAAAAAAAGAAAGAAUAAUGAUGAACAAGCUUUGACAGCUUUAGAUUCAAGGUUAUUAGUAGAAUAAAAGUAAACAUUUUUAGAGGUAUAAACAAAAUAAUAACAAGGUGAGCUUAUUCAUCUGGAUAAGUCAUCAAGCUACUCUUAUAUGAAAGGAUGGGUAUUUGAGGGUAUUAUGAUUUCAUGCAGUGUAAUUGGUAUGGCUUCUUGCCUAGUUUAGUGUCUACUUUUCACUUGUGUCUGUGUGUUUCUGUAUUGUAUUAAAAUGACUGAUUGUCUUGUCCAACCUGAAAACAAACACUUGAGGUUUCAGGCCUUUUCUUCAAAAAGUGAUACUAGGUUUGGCUACAUGAUUAAAAACGUUACUGCUUUCAGUGUUACAUUCUAAGAUAUCUGCUAAGAAAUAAGAUAGAAGAACAGGUUUAGCUGGAAUUCAGGUUGGCCAUGUGAAGAAGGUUAAAAUCUAAAGGAAGUGCCAGACAUGAUGUGCCUGGUAUUUGUUAUUCUACCUUAAUUCUUUGAAAACAUUUCAGGCAUAUUCAAUAGAGCACUUUAUAGCCUUUUGUGUUUGGUUUUUUUUUUUUUUUUGUCUGCAGUGAAAAGAUCAAAAUAAUGAUUUUUAAAAUGCAAACCUUUAUAAUUUUUCCAUCUCCCCCAAUAUCCAUAAAACCUAAAAUGUGUAUUGUGUCUUUAGAAAAACUGGUAUUGUAUUUUUACAUUUUUACAUUUCUAUAUGUAAUUAUUUCUCUUGUUCUUGUUGGUCAAGAUAAGAUAAGCCUGGAAAUGAUUGGAUAACUCAGCUAAGGGUUGUUUUUCAUUGUGGAUUUUCUCCCUAUAAUGCAUGUACAUCUUAUACAAUGUCAGUUCUUCUGCCUUGAAAUUAGACUUUAGAUGUCCAAUUUGCUCUUGCUCCUAGAUGACUGCCUGAUGCCUCUUCUCGUGCGUGGCUGUAUGUUUUUUUUCAGUCCUCUCCAUUAAUGCUCAACAGACCAUCCAACCUUUCUUCAUUCUGGCAGAGGAAGCAAAUGAGAAACUUUUGUACCUGCUACACUGCUACUUCUUUAUGUUUUCAAAUUUGCCUGUUAACAUAUCUUAGAUUUUUACAAUUUUCAGUCCUUUUUAGGCAUGACGAUUGAUAAUUGGCAAUAAGCAUCCACACAUUUCCUGGAUGCAUGUUUCUGUUCAAGUUUUGAACAGAAGAUGGAAGAAUGUGCAUGCCUGUAAUCUUGUAAUGCAGACUGUGUACAUCUCUUGGCCUACACAUAAUACAUGUUUAUC